UACGGAGGGUGCAAGCGUUAUCCGGAUUCACUGGGUUUAAAGGGUGCGUAGGUGGGCUAGUAAGUCCGUGGUGAAAUCUCUGAGCUUAACUCGGAAACUGCCGUGGAUACUAUUAGUCUUGAAUAUUGUGGAGGUAAGCGGAAUAUGUCAUGUAGCGGUGAAAUGCUUAGAUAUGACAUAGAACACCGAUAGCGAAGGCAGCUUGCUACACAAUUAUUGACACUGAGGCACGAAAGCGUGGGGAUCAAACAGG
rnacentral:rRNA from 1 species